rnacentral:rRNA from 1 species
GUGAGGAAUAUUGGUCAAUGGGCGAGAGCCUGAACCAGCCAAGUCGCGUGAAGGAAGAAGGAUCUAUGGUUCGUAAACUUCUUUUGCAGGGGAAUAAAGUGCAGGACGUGUUCUGUUUUGUAUGUACCCUGAGAAUAAGGAUCGGCUAACUCCGUGCCAGCAGCCGCGGUAAUACGGAGGAUCCGAGCGUUAUCCGGAUUUAUUGGGUUUAAAGGGUGCGUAGGUGGUUUGAUAAGUCAGCGUUGAAAGUUUGCGGCUUAACUGUAAAAAUGCCGUUGAAACUGUCGGACUUGAGUGUAAAUGAGGUAGGCGGAAUGCGUGGUGUAGCGGUGAAAUGCAUAGAUAUCACGCAGAACUCCGAUUGCGAAGGCAGCUUACUAAGCUACAACUGACACUGAAGCACGAAAGCGUGGGGAUCAAACAGGAUUAGAAACCCGUGUAGUCC